AGUGGAGUUAUUGGGCUGUCUGGUAACUCUGUAUUUAAUUUUUUGAAGAACUGCCAAACUGUUUGCCAAAGUGGUUCUAUCAUUUUACAUUACAACCAAGAAU
rnacentral:pre_miRNA from 1 species